UUUAACUUAGACUACUCUUUUUGGUCUAAAAUUGUUGUCUUGUUUUUGGUUAAGUAAGGUCUUUUUUCUGCCGUAGAACAAUCGUUCAAUGUCAAUUAUACAAGUAUAACCAAUUUAACACGUGUUAAGGAAUGUCAUAAACUGUCAACUGUGGCACCAAGUUACAUUGUUAAGCUUUUAUUCACGACUUUGUUGCUAAAAUGCUGGAAAUAAUUGUAAUUUGGUCAUAUGAAUGGUGCUGUUGUGAAUACAUUGACUCCUUAUUAAGUUUAAAAGUUGGACCUGUAGAUCGUGACGUCAUGACGUUAAA